rnacentral:rRNA from 2 species
CAGUCGAACGAACUCUGGUAUUGAUUGGUGCUUGCAUCAUGAUUUACAUUUGAGUGAGUGGCGAACUGGUGAGUAACACGUGGGAAACCUGCCCAGAAGCGGGGGAUAACACCUGGAAACAGAUGCUAAUACCGCAUAACAACUUGGACCGCAUGGUCCGAGUUUGAAAGAUGGCUUCGGCUAUCACUUUUGGAUGGUCCCGCGGCGUAUUAGCUAGAUGGUGGGGUAACGGCUCACCAUGGCAAUGAUACGUAGCCGACCUGAGAGGGUAAUCGGCCACAUUGGGACUGAGACACGGCCCAAACUCCUACGGGAGGCAGCAGUAGGGAAUCUUCCACAAUGGACGAAAGUCUGAUGGAGCAACGCCGCGUGAGUGAAGAAGGGUUUCGGCUCGUAAAACUCUGUUGUUAAAGAAGAACAUAUCUGAGAGUAACUGUUCAGGUAUUGACGGUAUUUAACCAGAAAGCCACGGCUAACUACGUGCCAGCAGCCGCGGUAAUACGUAGGUGGCAAGCGUUGUCCGGAUUUAUUGGGCGUAAAGCGAGCGCAGGCGGUUUUUUAAGUCUGAUGUGAAAGCCUUCGGCUCAACCGAAGAAGUGCAUCGGAAACUGGGAAACUUGAGUGCAGAAGAGGACAGUGGAACUCCAUGUGUAGCGGUGAAAUGCGUAGAUAUAUGGAAGAACACCAGUGGCGAAGGCGGCUGUCUGGUCUGUAACUGACGCUGAGGCUCGAAAGUAUGGGUAGCAAACAGGAUUAGAUACCCUGGUAGUCCAUACCGUAAACGAUGAAUGCUAAGUGUUGGAGGGUUUCCGCCCUUCAGUGCUGCAGCUAACGCAUUAAGCAUUCCGCCUGGGGAGUACGGCCGCAAGGCUGAAACUCAAAGGAAUUGACGGGGGCCCGCACAAGCGGUGGAGCAUGUGGUUUAAUUCGAAGCUACCCGAAGAACCUUACCAGGUCUUGACAUACU